rnacentral:lncRNA from 1 species
AUGUCCCAAAGUCCCAUCCAUCCCGUGACAUGUCAGAUCAAAGCCAGAACAAUCUGUCUCCUGGUUGCAGCCCCUCAGCGGCUCCCCAAGGCAAAUGACUGGUGUCAGAACGGACCCUUUGUCCUCACCGCCUCCUUGAAAUAUGCAGAAAGGAUGUGUCUGGGGAGCAGGAGCUGCCAAGUGAAAGAGUCAUAUCACGAGAGAUGGACAAGCGGUCAAUGUGGAUACCAUUCACUAAACUUUAAAGUGCCACUAAAUCCUUCGAUAUUGGGCCCCCAAGGAGAUGAUAAAAUGUCAGCUGCUGUAGCCAGCUAAGACAUCUACCAUCUUUGUGUCUGGAUGGAAGCCGGACAAAUGUGAGGAGCUAGAGUCUCCUCAGGCUAGAAUCAUCUCUCUGGACAGAAGAGUGAUAUUUGGUGACCACGAUUCCUGAAAGGAACAAGACUGGACAAUGGCAGGAAGCAGGGGAAAAAGAGGACAAGCCAUUAACAAGCGAAUUAAGACCAGACAAGUGAGAUGAAUCAGAAGUGAUCCAAUAACCAGCCCUGGAUUAAGUGCAUCUGGCUCACGCGGGGAUUUCACAGUCAUUUGCUUCAAGCUGCUAAUCCUCUCUGAGAGGUUCCCUUCGAGCCGUCUGGAAGGAAUGCAUAAACGGAUUCAGCCAAACGUCUGCUCCUGCAGUGUUUUAUGCACGGCCGUGCACACAUGGUGUCCUGCCUUGGCGAUUUGGGAUUUAAAGUGCGGCUGGCUUACAGAAUUAUAGAAUUUUAUUUUCUUAAUUUUUAAAAUUUUACUGAAGUAUAGUUGAUUUGCAAUGUCAUGUUUCAUUUCUUCUGUACAGUAAAGUGACUCAGUUAUACAUAUGUAUUCUUUUUCAUAUUCAUUUCCUUAAUGACUUAUGACAGGAUACUGAACACAGUCCCCCCUGCUAUUCAGCAGGGCCUUGUGGUUUAGCCAUCCUACAUAUAACAGUUUGUAUCUACUAAUCCCAAACUCCUAAUCUUUCCCUCCUCUAGAAUCGUAGAGUCAGAAAGGAGCUACACAAUACUCAGCCCACUUGUCAUUUACAGAUGGGGAAACGGAGGCUCAGCUAGGUCAUAGGAUUUCUCUUGGAUUCACACAUCAAAAUACUGGCAGAGCUGGGACUAAAACUCAGGUCACCACCAACUCUUAGUCCAAUCCCAUUCUGACUAGCUUGUAACCAUUGUUUAUUCCAGUAUUUUCUAAACUCACUUAAUGGAGCGUAACAGAAAGAAUUAAUAUGGGUGACAAGACUAGAAAUAUAAAAUAAAUCAUUUCAUUCAUUGUCUUCCCAGGGAGGUGUAUUCCAAAGGCAAGUGUGUAAAGCAGUCAAGUAGCUCUUUCCUUCCUGGUGCGUGUCACCAGGAUGAAUGAUAAAGCCCCAUAUCCUCAGCUGUAGGAUGGGGUCAAUCAUGAUACCCACCUCACAGGUUGUGGUGAGAUAGCAGAGAGCUUGUCACAAACUUGGAUUUGUUUGGUAUGUGUGUGCUCAGUUGCAUCUGACUUUUUGCGACCCUAUAAAUGAUAGCCUGUCAGCCUCCGCUGUCCAUGGGAUUUUUCCCGGCCAGAAUACUGGAGUGGGUUUCCAUGUUCUCUUCCAGGGAGUCUUCUCCACCCAGAGAUCAAACUCAUGUCCUACAUCUCCUGCAUUACAGGUAGAUUCUUUCCCACUAAGCCACCAAGGCACAUAGUGCUCAAUCAGUUCAGUCGCUCAGUCGUCUCCGACUCUUUGUGACCCCGUGAAUCAGCACACCACACCUCCCUGUCCAUCACCAACUCCCGGAGUUCACUCAAACUCACAUCCAUCGAGUCAGUGAUGCCAUCCAGCCAUCUCAUCCUCGGUCGUCCCCUUCUCCUCCUGCCCCCAAUCCCUCCCAGCAUCAGAGUCUUUUCCAAUGAGUCACCUCUUCGCAUGAGGUGGCCAAAGUACUGGAGUUUCAGCUUUAGCAUCAUUCCUUCCAAAGAAAUCCCAGGGCUGAUCUCCUUCAGAAUGGACUGGUUGGAUCUCCUUGCAGUCCAAGGGACCCUCAAGAGUCUUCUCCAACACCACAGNNNNNNNNNNGACCUUAGUCGGCAAAGUAAUGUCUCUGCUUUUGAAUAUGCUAUCUAGGUUGGUCAUAACUUUUCUUCCAAGGAGUAAGUGUCUUUUAAUUUCAUGGCUGCAGUCACCAUCUGCAGUGAUUUUGGAGCACCACCCCUCCCAAAAAAAAGAAGUCAGCCACUGUUUCCACUGUUUCCCCAUCUAGUUCCCAUGAAGUGAUGGGACCUGAUGCCAUGAUCUUCGUUUUCUGAAUGUUGAGCUUUAAGCCAGAGGCUUUUUAGCUCCUCUUCACUUUCUGCCAUAAGGGUGGUGUCAUCUGCAUAUCUGAGGUUAUUGAUAUUUCUCCCAGCAAUCUUGAUUCCAGCUUGUGCUUCUUCUAGCCCAGCGUUUCUCAUGAUGUACUUUGCAUAGAAGUUAAAUAAGCAGGGUGACAAUGUACAGCCUUGACGUACUCCUUUUCUUAUUUGGAACCAGUCUGUUGUUCCAUGCCCAGUUCUAACUGUUGCUUCCUGACCUGCAUAUAGGUUUCUCAAGAGGCAGGUCAAAUGGUCUGGUAUUCCCUUCUCUUUCAGAAUUUUCCAGUUUAUUGUGAUCCACACAAUAAAUUAUUUAAAAUUAUUUUUAUUAUUACUAUCUGAGAGAGUGCCAGUUGCUUCUUGGUCUAAGUUGAAGUAGAGGUUGUCUUGCAAGGGAUAUUCUUUUUUUUUUUUAAUUUUUUAAAUUGAAGUAUAGCUGAUUUACAAUGUAGUGUUAAUUUCUCCUAUGCAGCAAAGUAAUUUAGUACAUACAUAUAUAUAUAUAUACACACAUUCAUUUUAAUAUUCUUUUCCAUUAUGGCUUAUCUCAGAAUAUAGUUCCCUGUGCUUUACAGUAGGACCUUGCUAUUAUCCAUUUUACCUGUAGCAGUUUGCAUCUGCUAACUGGGAAAUCCCAGUCCACUCCCUCCUUACCCACUAGCCCCCUUGACAAACACAAGCCUGUUCUCUCUGUCUAUGAGUCUGUUUCUGUUUCAUAGAUAGGUUCAUUUGUGCCAUAUUUGAGAUUCCACAUAUAAGUGGUAUUAUAUGGUAUUUUUCUUUCUAUUUCUGACUUCACUGAGUAUGAUAAUCUCUAGUUCCAUCCAGGUUGCUGCAAAUCACGUUAUUUCACUCUUUUUCAUGGCUUAGUAGUAUUUCAUUGUAUUUCACAU